AUACAGGGGAUAACUAUGCAGGAUGCUAACUAUGCAGGGGCUAACUAUGCAGGUUCUAACUAUGCAGGUUCUAACUAUACAGGGGCGAACUAUGCAGGAUGCUAACUAUGCAAGUGCAAACUAUGCAGGUGCAAACUAUGCAGGAUGCUAACUAUGCAGGUGCUAACUAUGCAGGAUGCUAACUAUGCAGGUGCUAACAAUGCAGUUGCUAACUAUGCAGGAUGCUAACUAUGCAGGAUGCUAACUAUGCAGGUACAAACUAUGCAGGUACAAACUAUGCAGGUGCAAACUAUGCAGGUAGUAACUAUGCUGGUGCUAACUAUACAGGGG
ensembl:lncRNA